rnacentral:rRNA from 1 species
CCGACACGGGGAGGUAGUGACGAAAAAUAACAAUACAGGACUCUAACGAGGCCCUGUAAUUGGAAUGAGUACAUUCUAAAACUCUUAACGAGUAUCCAUUGGAGGGCAAGUCUGGUGCCAGCAGCCGCGGUAAUUCCAGCUCCAACAGUGUAUGCUAAAGUUGUUGCGGUUGAAAAGCUCGUAGUUGGAUCUAGGGUGGGCGCCGCCGGUCCGUCGCAAGGCGUGUCACUGGCGGCGUCUGCCUUGCCUUCGGUUCUCCGUCGGUGCUCUUGACUGAGUGUCGGCGGUGGCCGAUAAGUUUACUUUGAAAAAAUUAGAGUGUUCAAAGCAGGCUGUUCGCCUGCAUAGUGUUGCAUGGAAUAAUGGAAUAGGACCUCGGUUCUAUUUUGUUGGUUUUCGGAGCACGAGGUAAUGAUUAAGAGGGACAGACGGGGGCGUCCGUACUCUGCCGUUAGAGGUGAAAUUCUUGGAUCGGCGGAAGACGAACUACUGCGAAAGCAUUCGCCAAGAAUGUUUUCUUUAAUCAAGAGCGAAAGUCAGAGGUUCGAAGACGAUCAGAUACCGUCCUAGUUCUGACUAUAAACGAUGCCAACUAGCGAUCGGGAGGCGUUACCAUGACGACCUUCCCGGCAGCUUCCGGGAAACCAAAGUCUUUGGGUUCUGGGGGAAGUAUGGUUGCAAAGCUGAAACUUAAAGGAAUUGACGGAAGGGCACCACCAGGAGUGGAGCCUGCGGCUUAAUUUGACUCAACACGGGGAAACUCACCCGGCCCGGACACAGGAAGGAU